GAUGAAGAACGUAGCGAAAUGCGAUACGUAAUGUGAAUUGCAGAAUUCAGUGAAUCAUCGAGUCUUUGAACGCACAUUGCGCCCCCUGGUAUUCCGGGGGGCAUGCCUGUCCGAGCGUCAUUGCUGCCCUCAAGCACGGCUUGUGUGUUGGGCCCCCGUCCCCCCCUCCCGGGGGACGGGCCCGAAAGGCAGCGGCGGCACCGCGUCCGGUCCUCGAGCGUAUGGGGCUUUGUCACCCGCUCUGUAGGCCCGGCCGGCGCCUGCCGACCACCAUCAAUCUUUUUUCCAGGUUGACCUCGGAUCAGGUAGGGAUACCCGCUGAACUUAAGCAUAUCAAUAAGCGGAGGA
rnacentral:misc_RNA from 1 species